AGAUUGGGACACUGCCCCUUUAAGACGGUGUCCCCAGACUUGUUUGGGACACUGCCUCUUUAAGACGGUGUCCCCUGUGUCCCCAGACCUGGUUCAAACCCUUUGUGCCUGGCUAUUUCCCACUUGGUUCAGUAAGUGGGGCUUACUGAACCAAGUACCACACAGGCGGUCCACCCAGAAGUGGAAGGGUGCAGGCAAUUUACCUCCCAGAAGCUGCGGUUAACCGCAGCUUAAUUCACAAUGCUGGGUGGCCUUUGUUCGUUUGCCGAACACGUGGCGGCGGCCAUCUUUGUUAAUG